rnacentral:snRNA from 1 species
AACUAUCCGUGGGUACGGGGAGAACUAUUCUUUCGCCUUUUACUGAAGAGUACCGUGUGCUCUCCACAUUUAAGCAGCAUACGCCCAUUUUUGGGGGUUGCCCCAAAC